rnacentral:rRNA from 1 species
CGACUUGGAGGUUGUUCCCUUGAGGAGUGGCUUCCGGAGCUAACGCGUUAAGUCGACCGCCUGGGGAGUACGGCCGCAAGGUUAAAACUCAAAUGAAUUGACGGGGGCCCGCACAAGCGGUGGAACGUGUGGUUUAAUUCGAUGCAACGCGAAGAACCUUACCUACUCUUGACAUCCACGGAACUCGGCAGAGAUGCCUUAGUGCCUUCGGGAACCGUGAGACAGGUGCUGCAUGGCUGUCGUCAGCUCGUGUUGUGAAAUGUUGGGUUAAGUCCCGCAACGAGCGCAACCCUUAUCCUUUGUUGCCAGCACGUCAUGGUGGGAACUCAAAGGAGACUGCCGGUGAUAAACCGGAGGAAGGUGGGGAUGACGUCAAGUCAUCAUGGCCCUUACGAGUAGGGCUACACACGUGCUACAAUGGCGCAUACAAAGAGAAGCGACCUCGCGAGAGCAAGCGGACUCACAAAGUGCGUCGUAGUCCGGAUCGGAGUCUGCAACUCGACUCCGUGAAGUCGGAAUCGCUAGUAAUCGUGGAUCAGAAUGCCACGGUGAAUACGUCCCCGGGCCUUGUACACACCGCCCGUCACACCAUGGGAGUGGGUUGCAAAAGAAGUAGGUAGCUUAACCUUCGGGAGGGCGCUUACCACUUUGUGAUUCAUGACUGGGGUGAAGUCGUAACAAGGUAUC